UACGUAGGGCGCAAGCGUUAUCCGGAAUUAUUGGGCGUAAAGAGCUCGUAGGCGGUUUGUCGCGUCUGCCGUGAAAGUCCGGGGCUCAACUCCGGAUCUGCGGUGGGUACGGGCAGACUAGAGUGAUGUAGGGGAGACUGGAAUUCCUGGUGUAGCGGUGAAAUGCGCAGAUAUCAGGAGGAACACCGGUGGCGAAGGCGGUUCUCUGGGCCUUACCUGACGCUGAGACGCGAAAGCGUGGGGAGCGAACAGG
rnacentral:rRNA from 1 species